GGACCCGCACAAGCGGUGGAUUAUGUGGAUUAAUUCGAUGCAACGCGAAAAACCUUACCUACCCUUGACAUGUCCUGGAGCCCGGUGAGAGCCGGGUGUGCCCGAAAGGGAACGGGAACACAGGUGCUGCAUGGCUGUCGUCAGCUCGUGUCGUGAGAUGUUGGGUUAAGUCCCGCAACGAGCGCAACCCUUGUCAUUAGUUGCUACAUUCAGUUGGGCACUCUAAUGAGACUGCCGGUGACAAACCGGAGGAAGGUGGGGAUGACGUCAAGUCCUCAUGGCCCUUAUGGGUAGGGCUUCACACGUAAUACAAUGGCGCGUACAGAGGGCUGCUAAGCCGCGAGGUAGAGCCAAUCCCUUAAAGCGCGUCGUAGUCCGGAUUGCAGUCUGCAACUCGACUGCAUGAAGUCGGAAUCGCUAGUAAUCGCGGAUCAGCAUGUCGCGGUGAAUACGUUCCCGGGUCUU
rnacentral:rRNA from 1 species